rnacentral:rRNA from 1 species
AGAGUUUGAUCAUGGCUCAGGAUGAACGCUGGCGGCGUGCCUAACACAUGCAAGUCGAGCGAUCUUCUUCGGAAGAGAGCGGCGGACGGGUGAGUAACGCGUGGGUAACCUGCCUCAUACACAUGGAUAACAUACCGAAAGGUAUGCUAAUACAAGAUGAUAUAAGAGAUUCGCAUGGAUUUCUUAUCAAAGCUCCGGCGGUAUGAGAUGGACCCGCGUCUGAUUAGCUAGUUGGUAAGGUGACGGCUUACCAAGGCGACGAUCAGUAGCCGACCUGAGAGGGUGAUCGGCCACAUUGGAACUGAGACACGGUCCAAACUCCUACGGGAGGCAGCAGUGGGGAAUAUUGCACAAUGGGCGAAAGCCUGAUGCAGCAACGCCGCGUGAGCGAUGAAGGCCUUCGGGUCGUAAAGCUCUGUCCUCAAGGAAGAUAAUGACGGUACUUGAGGAGGAAGCCCCGGCUAACUACGUGCCAGCAGCCGCGGUAAUACGUAGGGGGCUAGCGUUAUCCGGAUUUACUGGGCGUAAAGGGUGCGUAGGUGGUUUCUUAAGUCAGGAGUGAAAGGCUACGGCUUAACCGUAGUAAGCUCUUGAAACUGGGAGACUUGAGUGCAGGAGAGGAAAGUGGAAUUCCUAGUGUAGCGGUGAAAUGCGUAGAUAUUAGGAGGAACACCAGUAGCGAAGGCGGCUUUCUGGACUGUAACUGACACUGAGGCACGAAAGCGUGGGGAGCGAACAGGAUUAGAUACCCUGGUAGUCCACGCCGUAAACGAUGAGUACUAGGUGUCGGGGGUUACCCCCCUCGGUGCCGCAGCUAACGCAUUAAGUACUCCGCCUGGGGAGUACGCUCGCAAGAGUGAAACUCAAAGGAAUUGACGG